CACAGAAUCUGUGAAAAUGCGCCAGG
rnacentral:piRNA from 1 species